rnacentral:lncRNA from 1 species
AUACUAGCUGACCCGGCGAACUUCGCACCGCCUAACAGUCAAUGAAUGUCGUGUUACUUUUUAGCUGAACUAAUUUAGGCUCUGAUGAACGUACAACAAUGAUACAAAAUAAUAUGUUUAUAUAGAUAGAAACAAAAAAGUACCAACUUGAUAGCGCGUGAUUUCAUCGUUGGUAUUGGAUGUUUGGAUACCAAAAACCGCCAUGUCGCUCCCUUUCGUGACAAAUUUUGCAAAUGUAUGGCAUGCGCUCUAAAGCAGUCUUGAACAGCCUGACCAAUGCAUGAUGCUAAUGAAGCAUUUGCUGUAGAUCUUGGAGAAUUGCUCUCUUCGUAGCUGUGUUGAUCCCUUGACGCCUGUCAAGUUGUUUUCCAUAUUGCCCAUAUUGCAAGAAUUUAUGCGAUGCAUCUUCUAUAGGUUGCAAUGAUCCAAUGCGAUGGUAAAAGGAUUUUCAUUCAAGCACUUUGUGGUAAACGACAUUCUUUGUUUUUUGGUCAGGCGCAAGAACAAAUAAAGCGGAUGGUUUGCCGACACGUGUCGUACGGUGCAUGUUAACUGGUACUCUUUUACAUUCAUUUUCUAGAUUGAGGCCACAAAUAGUCAAGGAUUGGC